rnacentral:rRNA from 1 species
GAAAGGAGGAAUCCGGUGGCGGCUGGGCAUGCGGCGCAUUAGCUUGACGGCGGGGUAACGGCCCACCGUGGCGACGAUGCGUAGGGGUUCUGAGAGGAAGGCCCCCCACACUGGAACUGAGACACGGUCCAGACUCCUACGGGAGGCAGCAGUGAGGAAUAUUGGUCAAUGGGCGGAAGCCUGAACCAGCCAAGUCGCGUGAGGGAAUAAGGCCCUACGGGUCGUAAACCUCUUUUGCCGGGGAGCAAGGGCCGGGACGCGUCCCGGCCCGGAGAGUACCCGGAGAAAAAGCAUCGGCUAACUCCGUGCCAGCAGCCGCGGUAAUACGGAGGAUGCGAGCGUUAUCCGGAUUUAUUGGGUUUAAAGGGUGCGUAGGCGGGCUUUUAAGUCAGCGGUAAAAAUUCGGGGCUCAACCCCGUCCGGCCGUUGAAACUGGGGGCCUUGAGUGGGCGAGAAGAAGGCGGAAUGCGUGGUGUAGCGGUGAAAUGCAUAGAUAUCACGCAGAACCCCGAUUGCGAAGGCAGCCUUCCGGCGCCCUACUGACGCUGAGGCACGAAAGUGCGGGGAUCGAACAGGAUUAGAUACCCUGGUAGUCCGCACAG